UGGCCCGGCGAGGGAGAAUUCGGCUAGCGUGGCUGGCGGGGCAGCGCCGGCUCCGUUGCAUUGCAUCUCGCCGGAACCGCAGUCCCCGGUGCUGCAAGAUCCACGACCAGAGGAGUCGAAUUUGCAGCCGGUGCGCGCCCAAAACCGGCCUGACCAGCCGCUUGGAGCCUGAAACGAGUGAGAGGAUCCUGACUGAAGUUCGAAGCCGGUUGUCUCCGACGGUGGGUUGCCGGCAUUGGAGAGAAUCCCGGGCCAGACGGUGUCUCCGCACUUAUUUGUGAAGGUGAAUGUAGUAGCGGA
rnacentral:misc_RNA from 1 species